GCUGUGCGUGCGGCGCAUUCUCCCCAGGAUUAGCCCUGCAAGGAAUGCGGUGCCGGAGGAAUGGCGCAACCUGAAACCCUCGGUCUGAUACAGCCUGAAAAACCGGGCGGGUUGUGGCAGCUCUGACAGUGGCGUGACCCCCGAGUCCCAGGCUGGGGGUCAUGGGAAUACUUUCUGAGGUGUUUGGACUCGGAGCACCCGGACUGGAGCACAGGCCUUGCAUACUGCAUGGCUGCGGUGGAAGCAGCAUCCCCCAAGAGCAAAGGACCUCAGGCCACAUUUUGUGUUGCGUGAUUGUCCAAGGAAAGAAAAGCACUGAACAUUGAGUUUUCCCUUACUCACUCUUACAAGUGUUCACAGGCAUGGAGAGGUCUGUGCCCAAGCAGUCUGGUCAAGAUCACUUGGAAUGGUACAGUGGAUCAGGGACACCAGGUAUCAAGUUUUUCAUUGAGUCUCCUGCAGCCCCUGUUGGCGAUACCUCUUGGACUGCUACGAGAAUCCUGUGAAAUGCCAUUAAAGGAGCUCAGAAAAAAUCCAACUGGAAGACAUCCUUGGUGGUCCCUGUUCUAACAAUCUGCUCCAAGCAUGGCUGACCACAAAGCUAGAUCAGGUUAUCUCCAAUGAUGAAGAGCCCACCAUCUCUCUGGGCCAUGUCCAAGAACUGCACCGUGCUUGUGUGAUGAUUUCAUCUCUGUCUUCUCAAAUAUUGUCUUGGAUUGAAUCUAAUUCAGGAUGCUGUCUGAUCAGUGCCAUCAAGCAGUGGAGAGGCAUUUCCCUCCACUGGCUUUCAAGGACCACCUAGGCCCUGCUCAGCCACCAGAUUCACAGCUGACAUGCCUUGCUGUCCUCCAGGACUGCAUCCCUUCUGUCCAGACAGAGGGCCUCAUUCACAGCUGGGCUUCUCGCAGCCGUGGGCAGGACACACCCUUUGCUCAGGCUGUGAUCUAGGAGGUUCAUGGCACCCCAUUUCUGCAGCCUGUUGAGGCCCCUCUGAGGGGCUGUGUUCUCCUCCAGCUGCUCCCCCAGUGUGGAACAAUCUCCAGUGCCCUGCAUCUCCUCUUCUAUGUUGUUGCUAAAGAUGUUAAAAAUGUUGGCCUGGUAUUAACCCCUGAGAAAUGGCACAUGUAGCUGUCUGCGAGCAACUCUUACUGAUGGACCUCUCUCCUGAACCUGACAGCCCAUCCAGUUUUCCACUCAUUUAACAGUUCACGUGUGAAAUACAUAAUUUCAUUUGUUUACCUUCAAAAGUAAUGAUCAAAAACUCCAAAAUAACUUUUACCAGAAGAUUUCCCUUCCUAAAACAUCAUCAUGUGCAGACAGUAACUUUGGUUUUGUCAGUUUGAUCCCUUGGUGCUGGCCUAGCCUAGGGAUCAGCACGUUGGUUUUGUGUCUGCCAUCUGAAUACCCUAUUAUUGUAAUAAACUACACUCAUUCAUCAUUUUAUACUAAUUAAUAAUAGAAGGGGUUUGUCAUAUGUGAAAACUAGCAGGGAAGUCCAUCUUUUGUAAACUUGUAGAGUUACAAAGUUCAUGUAUUGUUGAUCAGACAAUAAAAUAGAUAUUGUGAAGGAAAGGGACUGACAGUGCCCUGUAAACAUAGUUUUACUAAUUAGAAAAAAAGCAGCAGUGAUGCUUUUAUUAUCUUGGGACAAAAAGUGAGCUACUGGAAGGAGUUACAGGCAGCAAUGAAACAUGGCUUUAUCUGCAGGUUGGGUGUGCUUUAAUCUGACAUCCUGUAUGACAAUGCUGUAUGGUGAGUAAUACCUAGAGCAUGUCUGCCAAAGCUCUAGAGCCAAAGCACAGAGUCUACCUGUCACUCCAAAAAGGUCCUAAUGAAUAGCAGGACACUAAUCCCUCAGGCACCACAUUGCCUGAUGCAUCUGUUUGCUACAGUAGGGAGGAGAUGAUGCUUCCUUUCAGAUUACUGCAGGUGUGGAGCUCCCACACACAGAGAAAAAAGCACCGCUGCUGAAGCAUUCAGUAAUGGAAAGUAACAUGCUUUAACUUACAGGACACUUGGAAUCCACUGUUUCAGAACUAAAACUUACUCACCUUUCUCAGGAUGACCCCAUACCUCCCUGCAUUUCGAAGUUUGCUUUGCUAUGAUGAAGUAUUAAGUGAGAAGCUUGGACAUUCUCUGCAUGCUUCCCUAAAACCUUAUCUGUUUUUAUAGAAAAAAAAAGUUUAACUGACAAAUCCAUGAAUAGCUCAUAUAACUAGUGAACACUGUUAUUAUAUCGGAACCAAUAAACACCUUUUCCAAAUGACAUCCAUGAAAAUUUUUAGUUUUACUUUACAGGAAAUAUAUCUGGAAUUGUUUUUACAUCACAAUAAAAAUUAAGAGAAGAUGCUACCUCUGAA